rnacentral:misc_RNA from 1 species
AGACAACUACAUUUAAGUCAUACUACAUAUAUAAAUUGAAAUAAGGUAUUAUCAAUGUUUUCAAUAUGUUUUCUGAUUGUCGUAAAUCAAAUAAAUUGUAAAACAAAUGAACACUUGAAGGUUUCAUCUUUGGUAUGUUAUCUUUUUAGAAAUGAUUAAUGUAGAAUAAAUAUCACUCUAUACAAGGGUAUUUACAUAAAUCAUUUAGCAUUGCUGUGAUACAUGAAAUAUUAAUCUUUUUUCUUGUUUGCAAAGGAUAGACCUAUGGAAUAAUAGUUGUGUUUUUUUUUUCUCAGAUGUUUAAUCUCAAUUUUGUACUUUUUGUAUUUGAACGUUUCUUGUUUUGAACAUUAGUUUAGGAGAUGAUUUUGUUGCGACUCUAAAACUUUUUUAGUUGCAAAAAUCAUUAUGGUUUAUGGUUUUCACUUGUCUAUGACCAUCAAAAACCAUGUUUUAACAUUCUGAAAUAAAGUUAUAACUCAG